rnacentral:rRNA from 1 species
CGCGGCCUAUCAGCUUGUUGGUGGGGUGAUGGCCUACCAAGGCGACGACGGGUAGCCGGCCUGAGAGGGCGACCGGCCACACUGGGACUGAGACACGGCCCAGACUCCUACGGGAGGCAGCAGUGGGGAAUAUCGCACAAUGGGCGGAAGCCUGAUGCAGCGACGCCGCGUGAGGGAUGACGGCCUUCGGGUUGUAAACCUCUUUCACCCAUGACGAAGCGAGAGUGGCGGUAGUGGGAGAAGAAGCGCCGGCCAACUACGUGCCAGCAGCCGCGGUAAGACGUAGGGCGCGAGCGUUGUCCGGAAUUAUUGGGCGUAAAGAGCUCGUAGGCGGCUUGUCGCGUCGGCUGUGAAAUCCCGUGGCUCAACUGCGGGUCUGCAGCCGAUACGGGCAGGCUAGAGUUCGGUAGGGGAGACUGGAAUUCCUGGUGUAGCGGUGAAAUGCGCAGAUAUCAGGAGGAACACCGAUGGCGAAGGCAGGUCUCUGGGCCGAUACUGACGCUGAGGAGCGAAAGCGUGGGGAGCGAACAGGAUUAGAUACCCUGGUAGUCCACGCUGUAAACGUUGGGCGCCAGGUGUGGGGGACCUCUCCGGUUCUCUGUGCCGCAGCUAACGCAUUAAGCGCCCCGCCUGGGGAGUACG